rnacentral:rRNA from 1 species
AGUGAACGCUGGUGGUAGGCCUAACACAUGCAAGUCGAACGGCAGCACAGUAAGAGCUUGCUCUUACGGGUGGCGAGUGGCGGACGGGUGAGGAAUACAUCGGAAUCUACUUUUUCGUGGGGGAUAACGUAGGGAAACUUACGCUAAUACCGCAUACGACCUACGGGUGAAAGCAGGGGAUCUUCGGACCUUGCGCGAUUGAAUGAGCCGAUGUCGGAUUAGCUAGUUGGCGGGGUAAAGGCCCACCAAGGUGACGAUCCGUAGCUGGUCUGAGAGGAUGAUCAGCCACACUGGAACUGAGACACGGUCCAGACUCCUACGGGAGGCAGCAGUGGGGAAUAUUGGACAAUGGGCGCAAGCCUGAUCCAGCCAUACCGCGUGAGUGAAGAAGGCCUUCGGGUUGUAAAGCCCUUUUGUUGGGAAAGAAAAGCAGCAGGUUAAUACCCCGCUGUUCUGACGGUACCCAAAGAAUAAGCACCGGCUAACUUCGUG